AACCGCGGUUAUACGAGAGGCCCAAAUUGACGCACCACGGCGUAAAGUGUGAUUAGAGACAAAAGAAACUAGGACCGAACGCCCCCUAUGCUGUCAUACGCUACGGAGGACACGAAGCCCGACAACGAAAGUGGCCCUAUGAGCCUUGAACUCACGACAGCUAAGACA
rnacentral:rRNA from 1 species